rnacentral:rRNA from 1 species
AGGACGAACGCUGGCGGCGUGCUUAACACAUGCAAGUCGAGCGGAAAGGCCCUUCGGGGUACUCGAGCGGCGAACGGGUGAGUAACACGUGAGCAACCUGCCCCUGGCUCUGGGAUAGCCUCCGGAAACGGGGAUUAAUACCGGACAUUCACUUCCUUCCGCAUGGUUGGUGGUGGAAAGUUUUUUUCGGCCGGGGAGGGGCUCGCGGCCUAUCAGCUUGUUGGCGGGGUAACGGCCCACCAAGGCGACGACGGGUAGCCGG